GCGAGCGGAUCAGGCGGCUGGAUGGAAGAAGCUGCCGCCAUUUUGAGGCGCUCUGUGGAGAGUGAGCCGGAGCAGCAGCGCUAGUGCAGUAAUAGGUUGCAAUGAUUGUGACCGGUGAUGUCUGGUUAGAAUUGUCCGUGGCUGGAAUAGACAAGCCAAUCCGGCAGAAAUCACAUCCACAUUCAGAGCAGGAGACCCCACUCGCCUAUUUCGCAGGAAGUGCUUCUGACUGCAAUUCCAGCUGACCAAUGAGAAUCCUACCUGGUGUGAUUGGGGGAGGAGCUAACCUUUUAAAUGCAGGAAUUCAAGAUGGCUGUUGGAGAGUAUGAUUUGUCUCAUUUUCCUUAAGCACCUGCUGAUGCAGUGGAGAUUUCAUAAUGGAUCUGUGAUUGAGAGCUUGCCAGGCCCUGCUGCAGCAAAGCAGCCCCAAACAAUAAUUCAACACCACCACCUUGUUCUCAAAUGCUGUGUUUUGUUUACACCAAACAUGUCCUGUUAUUGUGACCAAAUAAAUUACAUUUGGAACAUUU